GUCCUCAUCGUCUAGUGGUUAGGACACCGCCCUUUCACGGCGGUAACCGGGGUUCGAGUCCCCGUGGGGACGCCA
rnacentral:tRNA from 1 species